GGGACUGGGAGCUAUGUCCUGGGACCUGAGUGUGAUUCAAAGGCUGGGACAAAGGGAAUGGAGCGAGACCCUAUCCCCACCCCAUUGCCUUUGAUAUAAACCCUAAAUUCCCUGGACCACCAUACACUAGAGCUGUCCACUUUCCUUCAUUUCCUCCCCGGGUAGUCCCACAGAAGGAGUGCUGGCCUUGCUACUGCUGUUUUGAAGAUCAGCUGUUGUCAGGAUGGUGCUUUGAAACUGCCCUGAGGAUGUGUGUCCUUGUCUCUGUUGGAGUUCUCUGAGCACAGGAGCUUACUGAUUUGCUGGCCUCCUACCCCGACUCCAUGCACAAGUGCUCAGCUGCCCUACUGAGAAGCACACAGCAAAUGUUUGUCCAGUUGAGCUAAAGGACUCUGAAAUCAACCAAGAUUGAGUCAGAUGGGUUCAGAAGAACAGAACCUUCCUCUUCAGUGCUGGCCUUUCCUAGAGGUCCCUUGAGGUUCACUGCCAUGGCAACGGGUCUGUGGAGUGGUGAGGAAGCCAAUCGAUCCGGCCAGCUAAGCAUCCAGAGCGCUGCCUGGCCUGCUGGCGCCAGGGCUAGCGAGGGCGGCAGUCUGAUGAAUGGCUGCCUGAUCCCCUGGCCUCUCUCUGGCCACCCUGGCUUCUACCUCAGGGAGGGCUAGAGGCUUCCUCUCUGGGAUGUGCCAGCCCCCCAGUCAGUGGGCACAGUUACAGGUGCCACAGAGUCUUAGGACGCCUGACGCAGAAUGUUAGAGCUGAAAGGGACCUUGAAGAUUAUUCCAGUCUCCUUUCUUUGUGACUGAAUAUAGAACGGACGGGCAGUGAGUGCAUGCGGUGUACCUGGCACGGUCUGAAGUCUCCCCCUAGAGGUUAAGUUCUACAACCAUCCUGUGCAAUGGGUAUAAUUAUGCCCAGCAGGGAGGCAGAGACUGAGCCCAGAGAUGUGAAAUCUUCCAUUCACAGCACACAGCUUGGAUUCACACCCAAGACUUCUCUGAUUUCAGUUCCUGUGUUACUCACUGUUUGUCUGGCUCUCGGAAACAUGUCUGGCCUCCACUGUAUUUCCAACGCCUCGAACGGUGCUUCACCCAUAUUAGGGGGUCCAAUAAAAAUU